CUCUCAUGGCUCUCAAGUCUCAUUCCAACCUACUUUUUGUUCCUUUUUUCGACAUUUAUCAUUGCUGCGCAGCCACAUGAAAAAAAAAGUGAAAACGAAAAAAAACGAAAAAUUUAUUUCGUUUAACCUUAAAUAUCGUUAUAAAAAACGAAUCGUUUUCGUUUAACGUUAUGUUGCUUUUAACUACAAAAAUUUCGUUUUUUUUCGUUUUUCGUUUUCGAUAAAAUAACGUUUUCACAACGCUGGCUCCUACAUUAUUGGAUUUGGAUCCUGUCAAAAGAUUGUCCAACAGUCAAGUUAAACUAUUACUUCAAGAGCAACAGAACAAAGGUGGAAGGAGAUUAACACUGUCAGAUUCAAUCUUAAGAGUAUUGCUUGUACAUUCUUAUCAUUCACUAAAUCCGCUGGAUACAGUUAGCAACAUAGUCUUCCUUUGGAUUAAUCAGAUGCUUGCAGUUGAGAUUCAAUGGCAUGUAAUUGUACCAAAUGAUGUUCAGACAUUCAAAUUUAUCUUUGCAAAUACCUCGUUUCAAUGUGAAGUCAGAGGAAACCCUCGGCGAAUGAUACGUCUAACUAAUUGGAAUACCUGUCAAGCCUCUAUUGUUGCAUAUGAAGAAAUUGCGCCUUUGCCGGAUGGAAAUCAGGGAUUUGUUUUCAACGAACUUGCGAAAAGUAGAGCGAACAAUUUAGUUACAGAUUUGAUCCUACGUUUCUACCAACCAAUGUUACGAGAACUAUGCCAUCCUAAGGCUCGUUUGUAAGGUAAUUGUUUAUCAUGGCCACGGACACCAUUCACUCAAUUCAGUAGUUUGUUAUGGAUUCCAGUAAUUUUACAGAAUGGCUCUAUAGUUGUUCCAUGGCCAAUGUAAACAAGCCUUUAGAUGGUUAUCUGCCAGUUUGUUCCAGCCACAUUCCAGUUCCGUAAUUUCUCGAUAUUAUAUUUUGUAUACCCACGAUUUAGUUUAUCAAUUAUAAUAAUAUAGGUACCUAUAUUAUCA